AGAGCACCUUUAACAUUUCAUUUGGUCAGCUUUGAUAUAUUGCAAAGAAAUGGUACAGCCCUGCAGCAUCUCCAUGCUCCAUGAACGAAUGAUGCAGCAUCGUUCGUUGAGAACGAAUGGGCAUCGUUGUCAACAAUCACCUCUCAGCUCUGGAACUCCCUCCCUCCUGAGGCCUGCCAGAACCGAAGCCUACACAUCUUUCAGAAGUGCUGUAAAACCUUCCUAUUUGGGCAGACAAAGUAGGUGGGAUCUGGAGUGGGUGACCCAGGAAGUUCCUUUUCAUCCUAUGUCUCUGUGACUUCCUCUCUAGCCAGUG